rnacentral:rRNA from 1 species
AAACGUAGGAGGCAAGCGUUAUCCGGAAUUACUGGGCGUAAAGCGUUCGUAGGCGGCUUUGUAUGUCGGAGGUGAAAUCCCCAGGCUCAACUUGGGAACUGCCUCCGAAACUGCAGGGCUGGAGCACAUCAGAGGAUGAUGGAAUUCCCGGUGUAGCGGUAAAAUGCUUAGAUAUCGGGAGGAACACCUGUGGCGAAGGCGGUCAUCUGGGGUGUUGCUGACGCUGAGGAACGAAAGCCAGGGGAGC